AACGAACGCUGGCGGCGUGCCUAACACAUGCAAGUCGAGCGAAUGAAGUUCCUUCGGGAACGGAUUUAGCGGCGGACGGGUGAGUAACACGUGGGCAACCUGCCUCAUAGAGGGGAAUAGCCUUCCGAAAGGAAGAUUAAUACCGCAUAAGAUUGUAGCUUCGCAUGAAGUAGCAAUUAAAGGAGCAAUCCGCUAUGAGAUGGGCCCGCGGCGCAUUAGCUAGUUGGUGAGGUAACGGCUCACCAAGGCGACGAUGCGUAGCCGACCUGAGAGGGUGAUCGGCCACAUUGGGACUGAGACACGGCCCAGACUCCUACGGGAGGCAGCAGUGGGGAAUAUUGCACAAUGGGGGAAACCCUGAUGCAGCAACGCCGCGUGAGUGAUGACGGCCUUCGGGUUGUAAAGCUCUGUCUUCAGGGACGAUAAUGACGGUACCUGAGGAGGAAGCCACGGCUAACUACGUGCCAGCCGCCGCCGUAA
rnacentral:rRNA from 1 species